UCAAAUCAGGUAGGACUACCCGCUGAACUUAAGCAUAUCAAUAAGCGGAGGAAAAGAAACUAACAAGGAUUCCCCUAGUAACGGCGAGUGAAGCGGGAAGAGCUCAAAUUUGUAAUCUGGCGGUCUAUGGCUGUCCGAGUUGUAGUCUGGAGAAGCAUUUUCCGUGCUGGACCGUGUAUAAGUCCCUUGGAACAGGGCGUCAUAGAGGGUGAGAAUCCCCGUCUUAGACACGGACUGCCAGUGCCAUGUGAUGUGCUCUCGAAGAGUCGAGUUGUUUGGGAAUGCAGCUCAAAAUGGGUGGUAAAUUCCAUCUWAAGCUAAAUAUUGGCGAAAGACCGAUAGCCGAACAWKUACCGUGAGGGAAAGAUGAAAAGCACUUUGGAAMGAGAGUCMAACAGUACGUGRAAYUGUUGAAAGGGAAACGAYUGMAGCUCAGUCSCGUCYYUCGGGACUCAGCCUUCACUUUUGUGUAURUGCACUUCCCGAGGUGACGGGCCAGCAUCAAUUUCGAUCGUCAGAUAAGGGUGGGGGGAAUGUGGCACCUUAGGGUGUGUUAUAGCCCCCUAUCGUAUAUGACGGCCGGGAUUGAGGACCGCAGCAUGCCUCUAAUGGCCGGGGUUCGCCCACGUAACAUGCUUAGGAUGCUGGCGUAAUGGCUUUAAACGACCCGUCUUGAAACACGGACCAAGGAGUCUAACAUGCCUGCGAGUAUUAGGGUGGAAAACCCUUGUGCGAAAUGAAAGUGAAAGGUUGGGACCUUUGUCGUGAAGGGCACCGACGCCCGGACCAGACCUUUUGUGACGGUUCCGAGGUAGAGCAUGUAUGUUGGGACCCGAAAGAUGGUGAACUAUGCCUGAGUAGGGUGAAGCCAGAGGAAACUCUGGUGGAGGCUCGUAGCGAUUCUGACGUGCAAAUCGAUCGUCGAACUUGGGUAUAGGGGCGAAAGACUAAUCGAACCAUCCAAGUUCCCU
rnacentral:rRNA from 1 species